AUUGAACGCUAGCGGGAUGCUUUACACAUGCAAGUCGAACGGAGUGGCGGACGGGUGAGUAAUAUAUCGGAACGUGCCCAGUAGCGGGGGAUAACUACUCGAAAGAGUGGCUAAUAACGCAUACUAUUGGAGCGGCCGAUAUCGGCUUAGCUAGUUGGUGGGGUAAAGGCUCAACAAGGCAACGCUCCGUAGAUGGUUUGAGAGGACGACCGGCCACGAGGGGACUGUGGAACGGCCCAGACUCCUACGGGAGGCGGCAGUGGGGAAUGUGGGACAAUGUGGGAACACCGGAACCAGCCAUCCCGCGUGUAUGAUGAAGGCCGUGGGGUUGUAAAGUACUUUUGGCAGUAAAGGGGUAUCUGCAGAAUAAGCACCGGCUAACUCCGUGCCAGCAGCCGGGGUAAUA
rnacentral:rRNA from 1 species